rnacentral:ncRNA from 1 species
UCAUUGAGACUUAAUAGGGAAUCCGGUGAAAGUCCGGAACGGUCCCGCCGCUGUAAUAGGGAGUUUUCCAUAGAAUUGUCAUUGGGGAAACCUGAGAAGGCAUGGAAAACGAGGAACUUCAGUCAGAAGAACUACCCUGGUUU